rnacentral:rRNA from 1 species
UGGGGAAUAUUGCACAAUGGGCGCAAGCCUGAUGCAGCGACGCCGCGUGAGGGAUGACGGCCUUCGGGUUGUAAACCUCUUUCAAAUAGGGACGAAGCGCAAGUGACGGUACCUAUAGAAGAAGGACCGGCCAACUACGUGCCAGCAGCCGCGGUAAUACGUAGGGUCCGAGCGUUGUCCGGAAUUACUGGGCGUAAAGAGCUCGUAGGUGGUUUGUCGCGUUGUUCGUGAAAACUCACAGCUUAACUGUGGGCGUGCGGGCGAUACGGGCAGACUAGAGUACUGCAGGGGAGACUGGAAUUCCUGGUGUAGCGGUGGAAUGCGCAGAUAUCAGGAGGAACACCGGUGGCGAAGGCGGGUCUCUGGGCAGUAACUGACGCUGAGGAGCGAAAGCGUGGGGAGCGAACAGGAUUAGAUACCCUGGUAGUCCACGCCGUAAACGGU